rnacentral:rRNA from 1 species
UACGUAGGGUGCAAGCGUUAAUCGGAAUUACUGGGCGUAAAGCGUGCGCAGGCGGUUUUGUAAGUCUGUCGUGAAAGCCCCGGGCUCAACCUGGGAAUUGCGAUGGAGACUGCAAGGCUAGAAUCUGGCAGAGGGGGGUAGAAUUCCACGUGUAGCAGUGAAAUGCGUAGAGAUGUGGAGGAACACCGAUGGCGAAGGCAGCCCCCUGGGUCAAGAUUGACGCUCAUGCACGAAAGGCGUGGGGAGCAAACAGG